rnacentral:lncRNA from 1 species
AUGGGCAGAGGAGGCGGGUGUGAGGGGCUGGUGGGGACACGCUCUCAUACAGUCGCGAGUGUGGGGAGAAAAGCAGCGGGGUCCUUGGCCACGGCACCAAGGACAGCAGAAGCAGCAGCAGGAAAAGGCGGCCGGUGGAGACCCCUGACACCAAUCGAUGCCCUCCACCGUGGGCUGCGGGCCCGGUGGCCACGGACACGAGCGAGGCCCCCGGUCCGGGCUGGACGGGGCCCAGGAGGCGAAGAAGGCCUCUCCGAGCCAGCCAUCAACCCCACCCACCAUGGCCGGCGCAGUGGGCCAGGGACAGGCCCCGCUCCAUCUCGAGGAGAGAAAAUCAGAAGCGGAGGAGGUGACAGCAACAAUUUCGUCGCCCGACCCUCACAUUCCCAACAUCAGAACAAGCCAGAUUUAAAAAAAAAAAAAAAAAUCCCCUCACCGAACUGUGCAGCGGCUCCGGAGCGAGAACAGCGCUCGAUCCUCCACCCGCCACCACCGCCUUCUUCUCCGCCUCCGACUCCUCCCCCGCCGAACGCGCAGCGGCAGGCGGCGGCAGCGGCGGCGACGGCGGCGGCGGCGGAAGCAGAGGCGGUGGCGGCGCGUCCCGCCCCUUGCGCCGCGGUACAGGCGAAAGGGGAGGGCAGGCAAGCCCCGCCCCCAAAACGGCGCCGACCAAUAGACUUGAAGGACCUCUACAGGAAAAAUCCACAUGUCCAAUCAAAACCUGAGGAGUGGGUUCACGUAAGUGGUUGGGACGUGGCAGAAAAAGGGAAAAAUAUUUGGACUGUCUUUACGGCCGGUUUCCCCCUCCUCGCUCAGGGAGGCUUCAUCGAUUGGUCGAAGAGCGGAAGGACGAGGCCACACUCCGCCCCGUCCCGGUGUGGGCCGGGCUCCUUUGCCUGCAGCACUGCGACGUUCGGGGAGGGGCCCGGGCGCCGUGCUGAGGCUGGAGCAGCACAGCCUUUUGUGGUUUGGGCUGGGAGAAAAGGGCGGGGUCUCAGGGAAAGGGAAGAGGGUGUGGAGAGUAAGGGCAGGACUGGCGCAGCUAGACUUUUACAGAAAUUCUAA